AAGUAAGAUAUCUUUAUAAAGAUGGCGCCGGCCGAGGUGCCGGCAUGAAAUUCACGUGCUGCCGUGGUCAGACGUGGGAUAAACAUUGUACGAGCAGGGUGUGUGCUUGUUGCUAGCUAAAUUAUUUUGAGACGCCACUUAGGUUUUGGCUAUAUACAUACAACAAUUUCUGUUAUCUAAUAGUGCAAAUUUGCACUGAUAAUUGCUGAGUUUUAAUUAUCACUUAUCGUGGAACCGUAGGGAGCUGUUUUCGCAGUUUGCUUACAACGACGACUUUUUCUCCGUUGUUUUAUUUUGAGUUAAUUUUGUUCGUGGGGCACACGAACUGGCGCCCAAAUAGGUUGUCUAACCCAGCCUGAGCAGAGCUGCAGGUCCAGGGAGAUUCAGGAUAUCUCCAGGUAGUGAAAUAGGAGUAAUAAGGAUGUUUUCCUGGAGCUGAAUUUUAAUAAGGCGAAUUUUAGUGGAGCAUGGUGUUUCCUCAGGAGUUAUGUCAACGGCUGUAAGAAGCGGCUGUUAAUAAUGUUCGGAGUUGCGCAUGCGCUGUGAGAGGAUGAUUAGAUUGGAGCGUUGAAAUCUGAGAGGCGAAGGCCUCUCGUGGUACGAGUUGGAGUUGCUGAUUUACUUGCAGAGAAGACGACACGACUUGAAAGAGCUGGUGGAGUUUCCUGGAGCUCGAUGACUUCUGGUUGGUCCUUAAUUUGGACAGACCUUGAUUUAAAGUCUGAGGUACGUCUGGUUUCUUUUACUGGCUUAGGAUGUACCUCGCCUGGCUGCUUGUUUUUCUUGUAGGUGAAGCAGCGCUUCUUGCUUGAGCAUACGCAACAUUUGAAGAAUAUUGGAACGACGAGGAUGACACACAGGACAGCUAGGAUGGAUAUGUUUCCCACCGUCAUCGUUCGAUGGAUAUCGUCUUCUUGAUGGUGUAAUGAUAUUUCGGACAUUCGAUUUUCCGUUUCUUCCAAUCCUGUUCCCCAGGGUCGGAAUUUGUCUACUGUUUUUAACGGGUCGACGUUUUUCUUGAAGAGAAAUCUAGAUAUUUUUGGUUCAUCUGUUAAAUUCGUUGAUAGCGUUUCCGAGGCUAAGUUCAACCUUGGCAAGGUGAUGUUCAGCUGAGUGAUCUCUUUAUCUAUGCUUUUGAUUAUAUAUUUUUCGCUUUUAAUUUCGCAUCUACCGUGAACAUGGACCAUUCCUGUUCCGUUGAUGUGUUAUUCUUUCUCAACCGGAUAUAAGCACUUGAAGAUUAGCUUUUCUUCCUUACAAGUCGAUUACACCCAAGAAUUUGAUUGAUUGAGCUUGAUCCACGUGGUUUUACACUCUAGGAUGGUGCGGACAUUGCAAGUUCUUGAGAUAUCCUCAGUUGACUUCAAAAGCAGCUUCAUUUCACAGUCUACUUCUUCUUGGACUUCGGCAGACUGGAAUGGUAUGUCGGGACGACAAGACAAAUCGUCCCCGAUAGAUUUGCAUUUGUUGAUAUAUUCAGAAUCUGCUAAGUAGAAUCUCCUCAAGCCUGGGUCCGUAACUAAGAACCUUUUCAACGGUAGUAUCGUCAGUGUCUGAAUUUUGUCAUUCAGAUUUUCUGGCUUUGGCAGUCGUUUCAUUUCGUAUGAUAAUAACGGAAUUUCAUGGAACAGGGGUAGGGUUACUAUGAUAAGCAGAUAACGUUUCGCCCUUGCUACUUUUACUGUAGACACAGCUGACAAGGUUGAGAUAUCCAUUCGGUCAAUUGGUUGAGGUGGAUUCAAAUCCGGAUGCUUCCUCAUGAUGUCGACGGAUGCUCGGUAGAGUUGACUUGGUGAUAUAGCUUGUGGGAAGAGUCGGCCGGCCUUGGCUUCCUCUAUGAUGGAUUCAGCUUCCUCCAGGACUCGAAGAUGGUUACUGGCAAUCUCCUUUCGCUCAUACCCCAGCAUCAUGACUUUCAUCAAAUAUGCGAGUUUACCCAAGUAAUUGUUGGUGGAAUUCAUCAAGUUCGUAGUAGCGCCUACAAGAUUAUUCAGAUAGGACUGCAUUUAAGCCUCACUUUGGAGAAUAGUAAUGAUCUCACUCUUGACGAGGUGAAUGGCGUUCUGUACUAGGUGCACCAUUUCUGCAUUGUCUUGAUAUAAUUUGUUGAUCUCGUUGGUGAUAUGUUCUUUGUCUUCAUAGUCCAUGGUUCCGAACAGUUCUCGGGCAAUUGUGCCGACAAACCCGAACCAUGGAGCUCGUUGAUUACGGUCAAACGGCGGAGUUUUAAAUGUUGUUUCUUCAAGGAGCUGGUCCAAGCGGCAUUUAGCUUGAUUUAUUGAGGCUUGUAUUUCGGUUAUUAGGUCCAUCUUCAGGUAGUGCAUGCAAGACCCAGAGCCGAUAAUUUUGGUACAGCCUAGCAUGGUCGAGUGGAGAUGGUUCCACUCAAAGGGAUACAUAUCGACCAAUCCUCGGACGUUAAUGGAAGAAAUGAUGCACCAGUUUUUUUCUACCAGGUGAAUCUUCUUAAACGGGUCAUACAGUAGACCCGGGUUGUCUGCCAGAGGCUGGAUGGUCAGGUCGUCCUUGGAUUGACCCCCUUGGAUGACGAUGAUCAGGAAUAUCAAUAAUUGUCUCAUGAUGAUAAGAGAUUAGAGGAUCUGAAACAGAGAACUUUAUAAAGGUUUAGCCUCAUGGUCGAAAGCAGGUUUAGCUUUAUUAGGGUUUACCAAUUUGCGGUUUCCUUUGUCCAAACAUCAACUCGAAUGGAGUGAAUUUGGUUGAAGUAUGCACAUUUGUAUGUCAACGCCGCAAGACUCACAUAUCAAUCCCAGUCCGGAUACUUAUCCGAGAUUACUCUUAAGAAAUCUAUCAGUGGUUGAUGGCUCCUUUCUAGAGAACCAUUUGAUUGGGGGUAACAACCCGAAGUCGUUAAUCUUUGGAUUUUUAGAGCUUUCGCAAGUUGUUGUAUUAAUUUAGAGGUAAAUAAAGUACCUUUAUCUGAGAGGAUAACUCUUGGGCAACCAUAAUAGCACAUAUAACGAUCUACAAGGUCUUCUGCCACUGUUGUCGAUCGGAUAUCAGGUAUCGGGAUUGCUGUUACGGCUUACGAAAAGUUAUCCUGAAUAGUCAAUAUGUGGACAUUCCCACUCCUAGUCAUAGGAAGUGGUCUAACAGUAUCAAUAGAGAUUUUCUCGAAAGGUUCGAAGGGAGUAUCGGUUAUCAUCAUUGGUUGUUUUGUUUUGAUUCGGGUGAAUUUAUUCUUCUGGCAGAUUUUGCAUUUCUGGAUGAAUCUAUAGAUUCAUUCCUUCAUGCCUGGCCAGUAGAAUCUCUCUCGAAUUCGCCAAUAAGUUUUCACGACACCCUCGUGGCCCGCAAUAGGGCUGCAGUGGUUUUCUUCAAUGAUUUGAUCGCGUAACUCUUCGGUAGGAACUUCUAUAUUUCCUUUGCAAAGUGUUACCUCGAUAGGACAGUCGCCCAAUUCUUGUAUAAGAUAAGGCUUAAUGUUUAUAUCAUCGAAUUCAUCCCCCUGUUUCGCCAUGCGGAAUGUAUAGAUUUCGUGUUUGAACAUGGACACUCUUGAAUUUCGUAAUCCUUCAAUUAAAUUAUUUAAAUCGAUUUUUUUGAAAUGAUUUUUCUUGACAAAGACCGUGAAGAUAAAGCACUGACCCAAUUUUGUGAUUAAUACAUCACCCAUUUUUGGUUUGGCUGUCUUCAGGUCUUCUUGAUCGAUGAAAGUGAGAUCUCUUAACAAUCGUGAAACUGGUUUCACCAACUCAGAAUUCAGAGACAGGAAAAUUUACCAUGUGGUCUCUCACAUAAGUAAUUCCAUCUCGACUGUCCUUGAAUUUGAUUCGAUUUUCAGGUAGUUUCCGAGGUCUAUCAAACUCGACCCCCAGUUGUCCGGUGGAGUCGUGUGGAGAGGGUCAGAUUCAUUUACCUGAGCAUUUCCGUCGUCUUGUUCCCGAUGUACUUCCACUUGAAUCACUGUUGCUUCAUCAGAUUGGCUGGCAUCUGAUUGGUCUGAUUGAGAAGAUCUCUCCGCUAUGAUUAUACGAUCGUUUGCAGAGUUUCGAUUUGGUGAACUGGGCUGCUGAUUUUCAUUCAGCAAGGUCUUUUCUUGUCCCAGAUUUUUACUUGGGAUGUCACUUUGCGUUUGGGCGUUUCCACAUGUGCCGUACUGGAUGAGGCUGCAGGAACAUCUUCGACGUUCAGAGUUUGGCAGGUAGAAGGCCUCGCGAUGACUGGAGAUGUAUUGUCAUCAGAGCUUCCGGUGUCUUUCCAAUAAAAGAUUUUUGUAUGAUCGUCAUAGUCAAGUUCCUUGCAAUUUGCCUGCGCAGCUUUCAGCACCGUGCUUUUCCACAUAGGAGUCGAAGACUUCGAAAAUCGAUAACCAUUCUCCACUUUUUGUUUCCUUGAGCGUCCGAUUUCUUGGGGACAAUCCAUAAUGGAGAAUUAUACGGAGAUUUUAAUUUUCGAAUAAUUCCUUGUUUGAGUAGAUUAUCCACUUGCUUCUUAAUUUCGUCGCGGUGUUCUUGAAGAAACUGAUAUUGCUUGAUUCGGACCGGUUUGUCACUCGUGGUUUCGAUUUUGCAGGUGAACUUUUUAGAACGUCCCAGGCGAUCACCAGGGAGGUGAAAUAUGUCAUGAUUUUUCUGAAUAAGUCGGAAAAUUUGCUUCCUUUCGGUGCGACUGAGAUGAUUGGUAGGAAUUUUAUCAAAGAUUGCUUGGAUACGAUCUCGCUUAGAGAGUGAGUGUAUUCCAGAUGGAGUUUCCGCUAUGUCAGAAAAUUGAUCGGAUGGGUCCAGAUGAUCUAAUUCAAAUUCUUCAAGCACUUGAGGUUCAAUUUCAAUUUCUGCUGGAUCUGAUGUGGUAUUGAUGACCAUACACAUCGCUUGAUCGUCAUCAACUGAGACAACGGCUUCGCCCAUUAAGAGUCCCUCUUUAAGAGGAAUCUUACGGAGGUAGCCUUGUUUGAUCUCAGGAUUUACAACAGGUACCGACACGGACAUUCGCAUACGGGGUGGAAUUACGUAUGAACGGGAUGGUUUUAUUCCGAGACUGAAAGGUAAAGGUCGGGAAGAUCAAGAUGGGAAUUCAGAGAUUGAUGAUGAUAUGAAAUCUCCACUUGUUCAUUUUUCAGGAAGUUGUUGCCCAAAGUUCCGACACCAUGGAAGGUUAAAUUCCCAUCACAAACAUGGAAUUGGAUUUUUGAACCCAAAACCUUUAAUUCCACAGUACCAAUUGUUUCCACGGACUGUCCAUUCAAACCACGGAGUAGCAUCGUAUUACCACGAUCCACUCUUAUUUCGGGUUUAAGGGCGGAAGAAUUUAUCAAACACACAUUCUCCCUGUGUCUAUGAGAAAGCAUUGUAAUUCUCCAUGAAGCAAAUUACAUGAGUCGAAAAUUUUUGGCCCUGUCCCUAGGGACAGGAUAUAUCUCACAUCAAGGUCGUUAUCCAUUGAAAAAGGAAUAGGACGAGUAGGUCGAUUUUUGAGGACCAGCGUAUUCCAAUAAAAGGAAUUGCCAGCUCGUUCUUUGAUGAAAAAUUAAUUUCCAAGGAUGCCCAGAUAACCACCUGGUGGUAUAGGUACAACCUGGAAACAAACAUCUUCGUCAAAGAUCUUGAGGGUCACAGUUCUAAUUAUUGGCAUACUGCUGGUCGCGAUGCCGCCCACCACACCCCCAUUUUCAGGGUAAAAGGUGGUAUCAUCCCCCAGAGCAUCGAUGCAAAGGAGAUUCAGGUCAAAACCUGUAUCCAAUAUAAAUUUUCUAUAAGAUUAUGCUAUGGACUUCUUUAUAUGAGGUGAUUCAUAUAAAAAGUGAUUAGCGAUAUUAAAUACCCAUAAGAACGGUGAUUCCGAGUAUUCUAAAAAUUCAUAAGUAACAAGUAUCUAAAACUCCUUUUUUCUAAUUGUUUUUGAUAGUUUUUCUUAAUAAGGGAUAGUACCUAAUUUUUUUUCGCUUUUCUUCACACGUACACACACACACACAUACACACACAGACACACACACACAUACACACACACAGGCGCGCGCGCAAUCACUAUAAAAAUCUAAUCUGCUUAAAAUCUUACAAUUUCAGAUCUGAGAAAGGAUUUCGAAAAUUUGAGAGAGGCUUAUAACCGCCAGCAGAAGAUCUUGCUUGAACUGCAGAAAAAAUUUCUGCAGCAUGGAAUCAAGCAGGCUGACGAUAAAGACCAGGGUCAGGAUGGAGGCCACGGUGGAGAAGGAAGUGGACAUGUUGCCCGAGGUGACCAACCUAGCCAGGGCCGCCACAAUAGUCAACAUGUCCAAAAAAACGAAGGAUUUGGUGACAGUGGAGGUGGUGGCAAUGGAGGUGGUGGCAGUGGAGUUGGUAGCAGUGGAGGU